rnacentral:rRNA from 1 species
GGAGCUGUUUAGGGUAGAACCGGUAACUGGGGCUAAGUCGUAACAAGGUAGCCGUACCGGAAGGUGCGGCUGGAACACCUCCUUU